CAUUUUCCUAACAGCUGUUUUCUCUGCUGCUCCAGCAACGACUCGAGAUGAUCUGCUCUCUUCACUGCAGCCUGAAAGACAGAAGAAAAACACAAACGCACUAGUUCACACAUAAACAGGAAGAAGGACCCACCGGUUGUCAGCUGCUCGCUCACACUCCUCUCUGGCCUCUCUGGUCUCCACCUCCAGCCUCUGAAUGGCCAGUUCGAUCUCUUUGUCUCUUCCACGACGCACUUCCUCCUUCAGCUCCCUCUCUCGACUCAACAGCCAUGCUUCCUGUGGGUGGAAAUGCAAAUGUGGAAGUGUGUUACCUGAUGACGUCUCUCCUGCUCAUCCCUGCUCUUCUCCAGCUCUUCUCUCAAUGCUCUUCCAGCCAAAGAGCUGU